rnacentral:lncRNA from 1 species
CUCUUCCGGAGUAACGUGUGCAGCUCACAGGGAGGGUUUUUUAUUUUAACUCCCUAGGAGCUGGGCCUUGGCUUGUGCUGGAUCUGAAGAAAGCCGAUUAUUUGAACCUGAGGAGGGAGCGCUGGCCGUAAACCCUGCAUGCUGGAGGCGGAGCCAGGCGGCGUUUCAGGCCAGCCUGGUGUACACGUUCCAGCAAUCCGGUGACCUACGCAGAGAAACCCUGUCUCGAAGAACAACAAAGAGAGAGAGAGAGAGACAGAGACAGAUAAAAGACUAGAAAUCCCAAAUGACAGAAAGGAAACUGCUCCUUUGUGGUACAGCUGAGAGCCAGUUUCCUAUGGGAGAUGAGUCACAUGCUCACGAGACUGAGAGAACAGCAUCUACAUUCCUUCACGUUCCAUCUUUCCACUGCCCUGCUUUGGCUCCUGGCCCUACGAUGACAUUGUAACUGCAGGAGCAUGUGACAAUAAAACUUCCCUAAGGCAUCCUUGAAAAGUGUUAAAAAGCAUUCUUUAGCCUGUGGACCACACGAAGCUACUGUCUGCCGAUUCCUUAGUCCCUUCCUCAUCCAGCAUCCAAGACCAGUCAGCUCACUCCUCCCCUAGGAAGGAACUCAUGAAGCCUGGCAUGCAUGGCCUUAACCACGGGUCUUCGUGUGCUGAGGAAGCUUUCCACCAACCACUGAGCCACACCUCAGCAUCUCACGGUGACUCCUCCAACAUGUCAACCUGAGACUCCUUUGCCAGAGACAGCUUCCAAAAUCAGUGUGAUGUAUUUCCUUUCCAAACAGUUUUCUGUACUUUUCUUCCCACUGAACAGUAUGCUGGACAUCUUCACAUGAGAAUAUGUGUGCAUCUUGGGCUUAGGUGGAGCUUAGGAGCAGAGCAUUUGCAUAGCAGAAACAGGGCUCUGAGUUGAACUUCAGCACUGCAAAUGAAAUGUUUAAUUAAAAAAAAAAAUGUUUCCCCUGUUCUGGAAUUGUAGAAUAA